rnacentral:rRNA from 1 species
GUGGGGAAUCUUCCGCAAUGGACGAAAGUCUGACGGAGCGACGCCGCGUGAGUGAAGAAGGCCUUCGGGUCGUAAAGCUCUGUCAUCAGGGACGAACGGCCGGUGGAGUGGAAAGCCACCGGAUUGACGGUACCUGAGAAGGAAGCCACGGCUAACUACGUGCCAGCAGCCGCGGUAAUACGUAGGUGGCAAGCGUUGUCCGGAAUUAUUGGGCGUAAAGCGCGCGCAGGUGGGAUCUUAAGUCCAUUUUUAAAGUUCGGAGCUCAACUCCGUGAUGGGAUGGAAACUGGGAUUCUUGAGUACCGGAGAGGAAAGCGGAAUUCCCCGUGUAGCGGUGAAAUGCGUAGAUAUGGGGAGGAACACCAGUGGCGAAGGCGGCUUCCUGGCACAAUACUGACGCUCAUGUGCGAAAGCUAGGGCAGCGAACGGGAUUAGAAACCCUUGUAGUCC